rnacentral:misc_RNA from 1 species
GAGGGGCCUUCGAGUGUAUCUUGGGGGAAAGAGUUGCAAGCAAACCAUGCACCACGGAGUGGAUAGCCUCUUGCACUCCGGGAGAGGUAGACUCUGAGAGUUCAGCAACCUUUUCUGGUGUUAGUGAUCUUAGAUAGUCCAGCAAAUCAUUUUUUUCUUCUCCAACAAACUGCUGCAUUUGCAGAGCAGAAUUUUUCCUCCUAAGAUCAUGCAAUUCCUUUUUCAUGGCAUCCAAUCGAGA